AUGUGUAAAUUAAACAUCUGCGGGCUGAGGUGGACCACAUCAGUCACACCCAGCUGUGAUUACAUGCUGCUACUGGAGGUCUGGAGGAAAAAGCCAUCCAAUAAUCUUCAGUACUGGUAUGGAAUUAGCAAGGAACCUCUGCCCGUCAUAGUCACAUUGGGACCAAGUGUAGCAGAACAGCCAGGAUCUCCAAUGUCAUUAGUCACUGUGCCAGAAGGAAAGGAGCUCUGGAGAGAUUCCCAUCUGCAAUUGAAAGCAUCCUGUAAGUGACACAUGCCACCCCUGGUCUAGUUGCAAGACGCCACCCGGCCACAAGGGGGUCAGGCAGGAAAGAGGACCAGGCACAGCACACUGGAAGGGUCUGUGAGUGUGACAUUGCAACUUUCUUAUACAUACAUCCUUUCAGUUUUUAGCAAUUUCCUUCCUUAAACAAUUUUACAGGAAGAUUGUUAUAAUCUACAGUAUAAACAUAUUAGUGACACACAUGCUGCAAUUGUGUAUUUUGGCACUCAGACCCAUACUUACCCUUUUGUACUCUGCACGGGGGUGGGGGGGAUGGGGGGUGGGGGGGUGGUGGUGGCUGAGAGCCUGAAAACUACAUUUCCCAGACCCCUUUGCCUGCUGUGCUAAUAGGAAGAGGAAGGGUUAAGUCAUUCUGUUUUUUUUAAUUUAGGUUACACAAGUUUCAUAUAUUUCAUAUUUACAGAUUUAAGAACAAAGUGGGGCUUCCUCUCCCUCCCGCCCACAUUCCAACCCUCCCUCACCUUGGAUUCCCAUUCUUAAUUUUUUUUUUUUUUUUGACAGGCAGAGUGGAUAGUGAGAGAGAGAGACAGAGAGAAAGGUCCUCCGCUGAUCCAAAGCCAGGAGCCAGAUGCUUCUCCUGGUCUCCCAUGCGGGUGCAGGGCCCAAGCACUUGGGCCAUCCUCCACUGCACUCCCGGGCCACAGCAGAGAGCUGGCCUGGAAGAGGGGCAACCGGGACAGAAUCCAACUGGGACUAGAACCCGGGGUGCCGGCGCCGCAAGGCGGAGGAUUAGCCUAGUGAGCCGCAGUGCUGGCCCCCAUUCUUAAUUUUUACAGUGAUCUAUUUUCAGUUUACUUAGUGAUCUUAUAGUUAGCUCUACUCUAAGUAGAGGGGUUCAGCAAAUAGUGUGAAGAGAAAGGAAAAAAAAGUGAGGCAAAACAAAACCAAAGAUUGUUCCUCAUGGAAGAGCCAAGGGCUAUAAACAAUCAUCCAUUCUCCAAAUGACUAUUUCACUCGAGUAUAUUAC
rnacentral:lncRNA from 1 species